GUCCACGCCCUAAACGAUGGAUACUCGACAUUUGCGAUACACAGCAAGUGUCUGAGCUAAAGCAUUAAGUAUCCCACCUGGGAAGUACGAUCGCAAGAUUGAAACUCAAAGGAAUUGGCGGGGUCCGCACAAGCGGUUGAGCAUGUGGUUUAAUUCGAUGAUACGCGAGGAACCUUACCUGGGCUAGAAUGCUUGGAGACCGUGGGUGAAAGCUCACUUUGUAGCAAUACACUGCCAGUAAGGUGCUGCAUGGCUGUCGU
rnacentral:rRNA from 1 species